UACAGAGGGUGCAAGCGUUGUUCGGAAUUAUUGGGCGUAAAGGGUGCGUAGGCGGUGCGGUAAGUCUCUUGUGAAAUCUCCGGGCUCAACCCGGAGCCUGCAAGGGAAACUGUCAAGCUUGAGUCCGGAAGAGGCGAGUGGAAUUCCUGGUGUAGCGGUGAAAUGCGCAGAUAUCAGGAGGAACACCGGUGGUGUAGACGGCUUUCUGGACCGUAACUGACGCUGAGACACGAAAGCGUGGGUAGCAAACAGG
rnacentral:rRNA from 1 species